AGAGUUUGAUCAUGGCUCAGGACGAACGCUGGCGGCGUGCCUAAUACAUGCAAGUCGAGCGAAUCAAUAGGAGCUUGCUCCUUUUGAUUAGCGGCGGACGGGUGAGUAACACGUGGGCAACCUGCCUGUAAGACUGGGAUAACACCGGGAAACCGGUGCUAAUACCGGAUAAUCCUUUCCCUCACAUGUGGGGAAGCUGAAAGUCGGUUACGGCUGACACUUACAGAUGGGCCCGCGGCGCAUUAGCUAGUUGGUGAGGUAACUGCUCACCAAGGCGACGAUGCGUAGCCGACCUGAGAGGGUGAUCGGCCACACUGGGACUGAGACACGGCCCAGACUCCUACGGGAGGCAGCAGUAGGGAAUCUUCCACAAUGGACGAAAGUCUGAUGGAGCAACGCCGCGUGAGCGAUGAAGGCCUUCGGGUCGUAAAGCUCUGUUGUUAGGGAAGAACAAGUAUCGGAGUAACUGCCGGUACCUUGACGGUACCUAACCAGAAAGCCACGGCUAACUACGUGCCAGCAGCCGCGGUAAUACGUAGGUGGCAAGCGUUGUCCGGAAUUAUUGGGCGUAAAGCGCGCGCAGGCGGUCCUUUAAGUCUGAUGUGAAAGCCCACGGCUCAACCGUGGAGGGUCAUUGGAAACUGGGGGACUUGAGUGCAGAAGAGGAAAGCGGAAUUCCACGUGUAGCGGUGAAAUGCGUAGAGAUGUGGAGGAACACCAGUGGCGAAGGCGGCUUUCUGGUCUGUAACUGACGCUGAGGCGCGAAAGCGUGGGGAGCAAACAGGAUUAGAUACCCUGGUAGUCCACGCCGUAAACGAUGAGUGCUAAGUGUUAGAGGGUUUCCGCCCUUUAGUGCUGCAGCUAACGCAUUAAGCACUCCGCCUGGGGAGUACGGCCGCAAGGCUGAAACUCAAAGGAAUUGACGG
rnacentral:rRNA from 1 species